CCAUUAAUUAGGUCGAUUCCUGGCGCUUUGUUGUUUUUUGUUUUAUCAAUUAUGUUUCUAAUUUCUUGUGCCAAUGUUUUAGGUAUGGUGUAUUCCUUGUCGGCUGUGGUAGCAGUGGUUGGAGAAUUCUUCAGCUUGUUCUUCGUUGCUUCUUGCCCAUGUGUUAUCUGCUUUUCUGAUUGCCGGGACGGGUAUUAUUGGCUUCCUUAUUUUUUUCGUGGCUUUCCAUAGUGAAUAGUUGGUGUUCUCGUGUGUG
rnacentral:misc_RNA from 1 species